GACGAACGCUGGCGGCGUGCUUAACACAUGCAAGUCGAACGCUGAAGCCUAGCUUGCUGGGUGGAUGAGUGGCGAACGGGUGAGUAACACGUGAGUAACCUGCCCUCUUCUUUGGGAUAACGCCCGGAAACGGGUGCUAAUACUGGAUAUUCACUGGCCUUCGCAUGGGGGUUGGUGGAAAGGUUUUUUCUGGUGGGGGAUGGGCUCGCGGCCUAUCAGCUUGUUGGUGGGGUGAUGGCCUACCAAGGCUUUGACGGGUAGCCGGCCUGAGAGGGUGACCGGUCACAUUGGGACUGAGAUACGGCCCAGACUCCUACGGGAGGCAGCAGUGGGGAAUAUUGCACAAUGGGCGAAAGCCUGAUGCAGCGACGCCGCGUGAGGGAUGGAGGCCUUCGGGUUGUAAACCUCUUUCGCUCAUGGUCAAGCCGCAACACUUGGUUGUGGUGAGGGUAGUGGGUAAAGAAGCGCCGGCUAUCUACUUGGCAGCAGCCGCGGUAAAACGUAGGUCC
rnacentral:rRNA from 1 species